rnacentral:snRNA from 1 species
GGAUGUGAGGGCACCUGGCUGCAGCAUCUGUCACCCCACUGGUCUCCAGGGUUGACUCAGCUGAUCUGGCUGGCUAGGCCUGUGUCCCCUUCCUCACCAUUUCCUGUGUUGGCGCUCCAAGAACUAUGCCUUCAGUGCAAGAGGAUGACCUUCCCUAAGGAGAAGAGGACAGGGGGUCGGUCAAGGGUCUACAACAGCUAUGUCCUCUGCCAAAACCUCAAGACGAGCUCUUGAAGUGAGAGUCCCCUGAAAGAAAUGUUUGCGUUUGCAUGUGUGUGCCCGUGUGUGUAUGUGUGUGUGUAUGUGCAUUUGCAUGUGCUUGUGCAAGUCCGU